rnacentral:rRNA from 1 species
GACAGAGGUGCCAAGCGUUAGGCGGAAUCACUGGGCUUAAAGCGUGUGUAGGCGGAUGCCUAAGUACCUUGUGAAAUCCCCGGGCUCAACCUGGGAACUGCAUUUGUGACUGCACGGCUAGAGUGUGUCAGAGGGGGGUAGAAUUCCACGUGUAGCAGUGAAAUGCGUAGAUAUGUGGAGGAAUACCGAUGGCGAAGGCAGCCCCCUGGGAUAACACUGACGCUCAUGCACGAAAGCGUGGGGAGCAAACAGG